rnacentral:rRNA from 1 species
GUAUUUGGCGGCGGGCUUAAACAUGCAAGUCGAGCGGGGUGAUGGUGCUUGCACUAUCACUUAGCGGCGGACGGGUGAGUAAUGCUUAGGAAUCUGCCUAUUAGUGGGGGACAACAUUUCGAAAGGAAUGCUAAUACCGCAUACGUCCUACGGGAGAAAGCAGGGGAUCUUCGGACCUUGCGCUAAUAGAUGAGCCUAAGUCGGAUUAGCUAGUUGGUGGGGUAAAGGCCUACCAAGGCGACGAUCUGUAGCGGGUCUGAGAGGAUGAUCCGCCACACUGGGACUGAGACACGGCCCAGACUCCUACGGGAGGCAGCAGUGGGGAAUAUUGGACAAUGGGCGCAAGCCUGAUCCAGCCAUGCCGCGUGUGUGAAGAAGGCCUUAUGGUUGUAAAGCACUUUAAGCGAGGAGGAGGCUACUUUAGUUAAUACCUAGAGAUAGUGGACGUUACUCGCAGAAUAAGCACCGGCUAACUCUGUGCCAGCAGCCGCGGUAAUACAGAGGGUGCAAGCGUUAAUCGGAUUUACUGGGCGUAAAGCGCGCGUAGGCGGCUAAUUAAGUCAAAUGUGAAAUCCCCGAGCUUAACUUGGGAAUUGCAUUCGAUACUGGUUAGCUAGAGUGUGGGAGAGGAUGGUAGAAUUCCAGGUGUAGCGGUGAAAUGCGUAGAGAUCUGGAGGAAUACCGAUGGCGAAGGCAGCCAUCUGGCCUAACACUGACGCUGAGGUGCGAAAGCAUGGGGAGCAAACAGGAUUAGAUACCCUGGUAGUCCAUGCCGUAAACGAUGUCUACUAGCCGUUGGGGCCUUUGAGGCUUUAGUGGCGCAGCUAACGCGAUAAGUAGACCGCCUGGGGAGUACGGUCGCAAGACUAAAACUCAAAUGAAUUGACGGGGGCCCGCACAAGCGGUGGAGCAUGUGGUUUAAUUCGAUGCAACGCGAAGAACCUUACCUG